rnacentral:rRNA from 1 species
CUAAGUUUGAUGACGACCGGCGCACGGGUGAGUAACACGUAUCCAACCCGCCGAUGACUCGGGGAUAGCCUUUCGAAAGAAAGAUUAAUACCCGAUGGCAUAGUUCUUCCGCAUGGUGGAACUAUUAAAGAAUUUCGGUCAUCGAUGGGGAUGCGUUCCAUUAGGUUGUUGGCGGGGUAACGGCCCACCAAGCCUUCGAUGGAUAGGGGUUCUGAGAGGAAGGUCCCCCACAUUGGAACUGAGACACGGUCCAAACUCCUACGGGAGGCAGCAUG